GAUGAACGCUGGCGGCGUGCCUAAUACAUGCAAGUCGAGCGAACAGACGAGGAGCUUGUUCCUCUGACGUUAGCGGCGGACGGGUGAGUAACACGUGGAUAACCUACUUAUCAUUCUGGGAUAAUCACGGGAAACCGGAUCUAAUACCAGAGAAUAUAUUGAACCGCAUUGUUCAUUAGUGAAUGACGGCUUUGCUGUCUGUAAUAGCUGGAUCCGCGCUGCAUUAGCUAGUUGGUAAGGUAACGGCCUACCAAGGCAACGAUGCGUAGCCGACCUGAGAGGGUGAUCGGCCACACUGGAACGGAGACACGGUCCAGAGUCCUAAGGGAGGCAGCAGUAGGGAAUCUGCGGCAAUGGGCGAAAGCUUGACGGAGCGAGGCCGCGUGAGUGAUGAAGGUCUUCGGAUCGUAAAGCUCUGUUAUUGGGGAAGAACAGAUGUGGAAGUAAAUAUGCACGUCUUGACGGUACCUAAUCAGAAAGCCACGGCUAACUACGUG
rnacentral:rRNA from 1 species